rnacentral:rRNA from 1 species
UAGGGAAUCUUCCGCAAUGGACGCAAGUCUGACGGAGCAACGCCGCGUGAGUGAAGAAGGAUUUCGGUUCGUAAAACUCUGUUGUUAGAGAAGAACAGCGCAUAGAGUAACUGUUAUGCGUGUGACGGUAUCUAACCAGAAAGCCACGGCUAACUACGUGCCAGCAGCCGCGGUAAUACGUAGGUGGCAAGCGUUGUCCGGAUUUAUUGGGCGUAAAGCGAGCGCAGGCGGUCAAUUAAGUCUGAUGUGAAAGCCUCCGGCUCAACCGGGGAGGGUCAUUGGAAACUGGAUGACUUGAGUGCAGAAGAGGAGAGUGGAAUUCCAUGUGUAGCGGUGAAAUGCGUGGAUAUAUGGAGGAACACCAGUGGCGAAGGCGACUGUCUGGUCUGUAACUGACGCUGGGGUUCGAAGGCGUGGGUAGCAAACAGG